GGUAGUGGAGCCAUUGCCCCAGAGCCAGAUGCUUGCCUCUCCUGCCCAAAGGGCAGGUGCCAGGUAGAGGUUCUAAGAGCACCUUGGGGAAAGGGCUGGAGGGAAAAAGGCCCCAGGACACAGGGUUGAAGGAGAGACAGUGGAUGAAGAAGAGGCCUGUGGUGGCUGGGCAUGGCCUGCACUGAUCACACUCCUGCCCCAGGAGAGAGUGAGGCAUCAGGGACAGCUAAGAAAAUGAGGAGCAGCAACCUCUGGAUGCCAGGCCCUGCACUCUCCCUGCUCCUGCUGCUGCCACUUCCAUUGCUGAGCACAGGGAGCUUCCUGUACCGCAUCCCAGCCUGGAGACCCUUCUACCAGGGCACCAAGCACUACAGGAGCAAGACAGAAAAGCUGAAAACCUGCAAAGUGAGACCAUCUGAUGUACUGAUGAAGGUUGUGGACACAUAUUUAAGACCUUUGAGAGAAUACAGCACACCAUGGAGACUACCAUGCUGACUAUCAGGAGGACAAUAGCAAGAGACUGAAGAAUAUUCCUUAACCAGGGUACACAUGAACCAAACCAGUUGAUAUCAUAUAAAUCAAAGAAUAUACCAGAAGAGACAUCAA